CUCAACAAAUCAGAGCAUAGGAUGGAGCCUGCCAGAACUGCGGUGGCCAAAAACCCAACCAGAUGCUGAGCUGCUUGCAUUGUUUUCCCGCUAAAAGUGCCCCAACAGACUCAGGCCCCCAGGCUAUAUUGAAAGGCCCUAUACCAUUAAAACUACAGCAAGAAGACACUGGGGAAAGGGGAGAAUUCAGGCACCAGGGUCUUGCUGCCCAACUGCCAUUUUAAAUUCAUUGAUUCAUU
rnacentral:lncRNA from 1 species